GACGAACCGUGCGAACGUUGUUCGGAAUCACUGGGCGUAAAGGGUGCGUAGGCGGGUCUUUAAGUCAGGGGUGAAAUCCUGGAGCUCAACUCCAGAACUGCCUUUGAUACUGGCGACCUUGAGUCCGGGAGAGGUGAGUGGAACUGCGAGUGUAGAGGUGAAAUUCGUAGAUAUUCGCAAGAACACCAGUGGCGAAGGCGGCUCACUGGCCCGGUACUGACGCUGAGGUGCGAAAGCGUGGGGAGCAAACAGG
rnacentral:rRNA from 1 species